rnacentral:rRNA from 1 species
UACGUAGGGGGCGAGCGUUGUCCGGAUUUAUUGGGCGUAAAGAGCGUGUAGGCGGCCAGGUAGGUCUGCUGUGAAAACUCGAGGCUCAACCUCGAGACGUCGGCGGAAACCAUCUGGCUAGAGUCCGGAAGAGGAGAGUGGAAUUCCUGGUGUAGCGGUGAAAUGCGCAGAUAUCAGGAAGAACACCCGUGGCGAAGGCGGCUCUCUGGGACGGUACUGACGCUGAGACACGAAAGCGUGGGGAGCGAACAGG